rnacentral:sRNA from 1 species
AUGUUUUUUGUAAUUUGGGUUUAUAGUGCUUCUAAAUGCUGUUUUAAUUGAGUUUUCUGUGUUUGGUCAAUUUGUUGUUGCGGAUGGGUGAUACGUUUUUUUUCUUUCAGUUAAGAAACAGUGCCUUUCAGAGUUGUAAUUUUUUGUUGGGGUUUUUUCAAGCUGCUGUGUUAAAGUUGAAUGGUGCUAACUGAAUAUAAUGCGUUCAUUCUUCAGUGUGUGUGAGCGUAUGUGUAUGCAGUAUAUGUGAGUGCAUGCAGUGUGUGCAGUGUGUCACUUGGGCUGUUGGCUUUUUGAGGGAGAUAAAAAGGGGAUUGAGAGGUCAUGCUAAGGAGAGUAUAUUACUUGCCACUGAGGAAUAUACUUCAUAUAAUAGCAAUGUGAUGAUGUGUGGCAUGCUUUAACUAAAUGAUAUUUUUGUGUAGUAAGAAAGCCAUAUAGUCACAUUUUUGUUUUGUUUUGUUUUUU